UACAGAGGUCUCAAGCGUUGUUCGGAUUCAUUGGGCGUAAAGGGUGCGUAGGCGGCGCGGUAAGUCGGGUGUGAAAUCUCGGAGCUUAACUCCGAAACUGCAUUCGAUACUGCCGUGCUUGAGGACUGGAGAGGAGACUGGAAUUUACGGUGUAGCGGUGAAAUGCGUAGAUAUGCGGAGGAACACCGAUGGCGAAGGCAAUCCCCUGGGCCUGUACUGACGCUCAUGCACGAAAGCGUGGGGAGCAAACAGG
rnacentral:rRNA from 1 species